UUCUAGCCCAGAUGGAAGCGGCAUCCUUUUGUUUUUUUCUUUAAAAAACAAAAGAUAUAGCGGACAGCUGGAUUAGCU
rfam:Flavobacterium reichenbachii strain LMG 25512 Contig01, whole genome shotgun sequence.